rnacentral:tRNA from 1 species
UCCCUUGUGGCUUAGCUGGUAAAGAAUCUGCCUGCAAUGCGGAAGACCUGGGUUCGAUCCCUGGCUUGGGAA